AUACGAAGGGGGCGAGCGUUGUUCGGAACUACUGGGCGUAAAGAGCGUGUAGGCGGUAUUAUAAGUCAGGUGAGAAAGCCCAAGGCUCAACCUUGGAACUGCACUUGAUACUGUAAAACUAGAAUCCGAGAGAGGAUGGCGGAAUUUCCAGUGUAGAGGUGAAAUUCGUAGAUAUUGGAAGGAACACCAGUGGCGAAGGCGGCUAUCUGGCUCGGUAUUGACGCUAAGACGCGAAAGCGUGGGGAGCAAACAGGAUUAGAAACCCUAGUAGUCC
rnacentral:rRNA from 1 species